CAAGAGGCUGUUCUUUAUCUCCAUCGUCAGCAAACUUGGGACCUGCAGCGUCAGAAAGGUCACCAGGGUCACCCAGCAUGUCAUCGUGGCUCGUGAUACGUUGGAUGGCAGUGGGGACAAAGGAAGCCUUGUAUCCUAGUCCUAAUACAGGGCAUCCUCAACCGACGACCUGAGGGUAACAGCUCAAACUCUGGCCGAAGAGGGUGACCUUGGCACUCCAGAAGGGAAGUAGCCUUCCUGAACACCUUCCUGUUGUAAAGGAAAAACCGUCU